rnacentral:lncRNA from 1 species
GCUGGUUUGAUGUCCCAUAUAGAGAGGUGGCACAGCCAGGGCUGGGUAUCCCAGUCCCGUGUCGUGUCCAGCAUUUUAGUGCAGACUCACAUGCACAUCAAAUGCACAACCAUGCAAUGACAGACAAGCAGCUCCACAGGAGGAGUGCACAACCAGAGGGGAGAGGAGAGAGCCUGGACAGCCUCUGUCCUCACCUCCUCAGUGGCCAUGUGGUGACGGCUGGGUUUUUUAUUUUUUUCUCCCUAGAUGAGCUUCACAUCUCAGGUCUUCUGCUCAACUCAGGUACCAGCUGACACCCACCCAGUCCCUGGUGUUGCCUUCAGGAGCAGUGGCAAGAUGGGAGCUGGUUGGGGAAGGGGAUCCUAGCGCAGGGGGGAGGAGGAGAGAAUGGAAUGGCUGGACUUUGAGAUGAGAAGACAGUUGGAUGGGGAGGAGGCACCAUUUGCUGGAACUGAAGGGUUCUCAGUAGGGGCUCGAGGCAGGAUGUAUCUGUGAUAUCUGGACCUCUGGAGUCCCUUAAGCACAAGGAGGCAAGUGUGUGGCAGUGAAGACAUUCUGCCUUGGGCCCAAGCCCAAGACAGGUCUCCCUGAGCCCUGGGCAGACCAUCCGACCUAUGGUCAUUGGAAGGACCCACCUCCUCCCUAUCCCAGGCCUGUGUAAACGCCAGGAAGGCAGGUCCCUUUCUCCAUGCAGGCCCUGACUGGGGCAGUCAGCACCAUUAAGUUCUUCCUCUCUGAGGCUUUCCUGGGUCAACACUUCGAGGCUGUGUAGUUGGAGGGCAGGGAGCCUGAGCCAGGAGACGUCUUCCUGUUCAGGCUGAUUCCCCCCACCUGACGCUGGUGCGGGGCCCACGUUGGCAUAUACUGUGGCCAUGGAGAGAUCAUCCACUUUGAGGGUGAGUGCCUCCAGCAGAAACACAGGCCCAAGUCUGCGGAGAGGCUGCCCAGCCAAGCCACGCCCCACCAGUGAGCUGGCUACUCGGGGAUAAAGACUGAAGUCCCAGGCUGGGGGCAAGAACUCAGGAGGCUGUGGGCUCCUGGGAAGUUUCUGGGCUCCUGGAAAGGCAUCGUAUCCAAACAGGGGCAGCGCCCGCUGCUGCGCUCCUGCUGGCGCGUGCUGCGCAGAGUGAGCGAAGCGACGGACGCGGACCCACCAUCCUAUCACUCCAUGCGCAGCAACUGUGUGCACUUUGCACUGUGUCUGCUCGUCCCAGGUCCCAGCCUGGACCCCCGGCAAAUAGACGGGAGCUCCAGCAGGUGUCAAUGGACGUGGACGUGUCCCCGGAUUAAGCAUGACCUUGGCCCUCCUGGGUGGACGUGGAGGCUUCAGAAAGAUUCAUUAAACUACUUUCCAAAGCUU